CCCGCCGCCGCCAACAUCAAAGGCCUUCCAGUUCUCGUAGCCUCGCGGGCCCAGGUGGUCGGGGUGAACGAAGGGCUUCAAGGUACAGUUCGUGAUCAGCGGGUACACGACUUGCCCGCCCGCGAAGAACGAUGCCCAGAACCCGAAGGAACCCACAGUCAUGAUGGAGUGGGAGCAGGACCCCAGCAACGCCAUGUCCUCUGCCGCCGUCUUCAUGUCUGCGUGAGGAGGAGCAGGAGGAGGAGGAGGAGAAGAAAAGAAGACGAAAAGAAGAAAAAAAGGAGGGCAGUAAAAAUGAAAAUAAUUACAACAACAAGUACUACCACAAUAGCUUUUUCUGUUGCUAUUUUAUAACAACUACCACUGCUAUACUCCAUUGUUUUCAUCUCAGGAAAGAAAUUCCAAUUCCCACACUGCCGCAAUCCGUGCAUUCCUCUCAGCAAACACAUAAUUGAUAAUUGAAGAUCCUCUAUAGUCCUCCACCACUCAGCCUGUGCUCGGCCAACCACGCCCCGCGAACGGGUGGUGGACGGUCCUCAAGCCCCUGGCCAGGUCACGGGGCAGCUUCCCGCUCAGGGCCGGACAAGCCUCGUCGUCGUGUCGUGAGGGCACUCCAAGUUUCGGUCAGGGAACUUGGCUGUCAUACUAUAGAAGUGAUCCUAUGAAACCCAGGUGAGGUGUGGCUGCUCGGAGGGUGGGCGGUGUAACAGUGUCAACAGACAGAUGAUACGUACUUGUUGGAUGUGUUCAUAAGUUUAAAGUAGUGCAAAUACAAUAUAUUUUAUUUUUCUUCGAUGAAUACUGUUGUAUUUAGCAUUGCUGUAUACCAGUUAUGUGUUUGCUGAGGCGAAUGCACGGGUUGCGACAAUUAGGGUGAGGGGCGCCGGACGGUAAUAUAUUUUCUGAGACGGAACUGGAUUAACUACUACUACUACUACUACUACUGCUUCUACUACUACUACUACUACUACUACUACUACUACUGUUGCUGCUGCUGCUUCUAUGAGUUCUUGUUUGAUUAUUUUAUUUAAGAAAAAAAUUACACAAAAAACAGAGAGAGAGAGAGAGAGAGAGAGAGAGAGAGAGAGAGAGAGAGAGAGAGAGAGAGAGAGAGAGAGAGAGAGAGAGAGAGAGAGAGAGAGAGAGAGAGAGAGAGAGAGAGAGAGAGAGAGAGAGAGAGAGAGAGAGAGAGAGAGAGAUUUACAUAGAAAAUCAGACCACACAGACCCCAUGGUCCAGACUAGGUGGUCUGUCCUUAAACCUAAGUGAUUUUACAUUAAUCAGAUGGCUCCAAAACGUUGCUUUUCUACUCUAGUUAAUAUUAAGUUCAAGGAAGUGACGGUCGAACUUGUUUUUAAAGGAGUCAAUCGUGUUACAGUGGACCACUGAUGGUGGGAGCUUAUUCCAUUCUCGCACUACAACGUUGGUGAAGAAAAAUUUGGUGCAGUCUGAAUUUACUUGUCUACAUUUGAGUUUUGUGCCAUUGUUCCUCGUUCGCAAAGUGUCAUCGAUCAUAAACAAUUUUGUUCUGUCUACAUUCGUGAAACCAUUAAGUAUUUUAAAACAUUCGAUCAGUUUUCCUCGGAGGCGACGUUUCUCAAGAGAGAACAUGGUAAGGGUGGAAAGCCUUUCUUCGUAGGAUUUGUUGCGCAAGGAAGGGAUCAUUUUUGUUGCUCGACGCUGAACACCUUCUAGUUUAGCAAUGUCCUUUGCAUGGUGGGAAGACCAAAACUGUACCGCAUAUUCCAAGUGGGGUCUGACUAAACUAUUGUAGAGCGGAAGUAUUACAUCUUUAUUUUUUAAUAAAAAGUUUCUUUUAAUGAAGCCCAACAUUCUGUUCGCUUUAUUUGCUGCAUCGAUGCAUUGAUGUGAGAAAUUGAGGUUUGACGCGAUUUUAAUCCCCAGGUCCUUAACUUUUGAGUUUAACGCCGCGUAUUUCGUAAUCGAACUUCUUAUUUUUUGUUCCAACUUGAAGGACCUGGCACUUGUCUACGUUAAAGGGCAUCUCCCAUUUAUCCGACCAAGCUGAAAUUUUGUGCAAAUCCUCUUGGAGGCUUUGCCUGUCUUCGUCAGUGAGGACCGAGUUACCAAUCUUUGUGUCGUCUGCAAAUUUACUAAUGCGAUUAUUGAGUCCAACAUCCACGUCGUUGAUGUAAAUAAUGAAGAGCACUGGGCCAAGAACCGAGCCCUGAGGGACGCCACUAGUGACCGGCGCCCACUCUGAGUUAAAUCCGUCAAUCACAACUCUUUGUUGUCUGUUGCUCAACCAAUUCGCGAUCCAUUGGUUUACUUGACCGUCAAUGCCUAUUUGCUUUAAUUUAUAAAGUAAUUUAUGAUGUGGGAAUUUAUCAAACGCUUUCUGGAAAUCAAGAUAGACUACGUCCACUGAUUUGGUUACGUCAUAAAUUGAGAAGAGAUCGUUAUAAAAGGUCAGUAGGUUUGACAGGCAGGAUCUUUUGUUACGGAAGCCAUGUUGUGAAUCCCCAAUUAAUGAGUGGCUUUCGAGGUAACUCACAAUUUUGUCUCUAAUUAUGCUGAGAGAGAG